rnacentral:lncRNA from 1 species
AUGUGUAUAUCAAAGAAAUGUUUCUUAAAGAUUGAAGCAGUUUAUUCAUUGUUGAUUCUGAUGUGCAAUCUUUUUUAUUUUUUUUUCUUUAAAUUCACCCCAGCACUUAACCUCACUACUGGAAGGAAUAAUUUUCACAUUUCAUUUCUUCUAGAAACUGAAAGAGAUACUUUGAAGACACAUCACAGUGUGUACAGUCAAUUUACAGUGUGUCUGCAUGUGAUUUUACGUGAAGAGCUAACAGAAAGAACACUUGAAAAUUGUGAAUCUAGUAAAUAAUUCUAGCAACUGCCUUCUGUGAACUCCUCAUGUGAAUCAUCACACUGAAUCCAAAGAAACUGUUCUUAUAAGGUCAGUUCUUACAAUCACAUGGUUUCACAGUUUGUUGAACAAUAUUAUAAUCUAUGCAGCAAAGGUGUUACUUGGUGUUUUCUUUAAUAGCCAUGUGACUUCUGUCUUCUGCUUUACCAUUUAUUGAAGUUUGAUUUAUUCAGGAGAACAGUAUUCAUUGUGAUUCAGUACAAGUUUUUAGAAACUGAUAACUUCUCUGAAACGGACACUUCAUACAUUUCACUGAUAUGAGACACUUAGCCAUAGGGUAUGCUAGUAUGUGAGUUGUCACUAGAAAGUCCAGAGGAAUGUGUGAAACUUUACAUGAUAAAAAUGUGAGCUCAGAAAAUAUUUGUUUUGAUGUCAGGUUUGAAAUCCCAGCAGUCAUCUCAAGUUCUCUCAUACUUAGGAACUGUUACUUUUUUUAAAAUAUGGUUUUAAAGAAGAAAAAUCCUGGGAAAGAAAUGAGAAAUAGAAAGAGUCUGUUGUACUUGAACUAAAUGAUACUUGUCAGAAUUAUAAUUAUAUAUGUACCACAUUGGAGAAGACUGUGUUAAGGGGGUACAUUCACUGCUCAAAAAGGAAAAAGAAAAGAUUUAAAGGUCAGCUUGCAUUGACAAAAGUUGAGAAAAAAAAAAAAGACAAAGAAAAUCCACUGGUAGUUCACAGUGCAUCAAAAGGAGGAAGAACUGGUUUCAUGCACUCCUCUCUUUUGAAGGCAAUUCCAUGUAGAAGUUCCACACAGACGAAACACCUGGGUUUCCCCUUCUACCUGUGACAUGGUAUAAGUCAUAUUUCAAAGAGAAGGAACAAAUGCCCUCAAGCUCUCUGAUUUCAAAGAAACUUUAGGCAUUUCUGGUUUUUGCAGUAGUUUAUACUUUUUUCCUUUCUCCUUCUCCUUCUCUAGCUCCGCAGCAAGUCAGUAAUAACCAUCUCUCAUCUUACAAGUAAGGCAGAGAGUAACUCAAAAAAAAAUCCUUAAAUAGUCAAGCCCACAGCAAACAAAAUAUUGCAAACAGCAAAGAGGAUUGGGGAUUGUGUUUAGUAUGCAGUACUUCCUGGGGACAAUUCAGAGCUGUAAGUUGUAAAUGGGGUAUGUGCUUUGCAGCCCUCCUUUUCCACAUGACUGAUGGCCAGUUAAACCCCAAUUUAAAGAGAAGGGAUUGCUUUGGCAAAGCAGUUUAAGAAACCUUUCAUUAUAUCCAAGAGUUUUCUGUUUUCUCUCAAAAGCAACUUUCUCUGGGCUAUAUAUCCCCAAAAGGUUAGAAGAUCAAUGAGAAUCUUCUCUGUAUGUUCAAAUACCAUCUUCUUGUUCCUCAGACCAUUCCAUCCAUACCUGAAUACAAAGCAUGUCCAGAGGUUAAUUGUUGCAUCCUAUCAGUGAUACAUCUUUAAAUUCUUCCCAGAAAAAAAAAAAAAAUAAUAAAUAUAUAUAUAUAUAUAUGGUCUUUUUGUAU